rnacentral:rRNA from 1 species
UACGUAGGGUGCAAGCGUUAAUCGGAAUUACUGGGCGUAAAGCGUGCGCAGGCGGUUUUGUAAGUCUGUCGUGAAAUCCCCGGGCUUAACCUGGGAACUGCAUUUGUGACUGCAUCGCUGGAGUGCGGCAGAGGGGGAUGGAAUUCCGCGUGUAGCAGUGAAAUGCGUAGAUAUGCGGAGGAACACCGUAGUCGGAGCACCGA